AACGUCGCAAAAACAGCAGUUUAUUUCCUGGCUUUGGAACAGAUAGCAUUCAAACUGCACCGGAGUUCUAACGAACCGUACCCCUGACCCUCGUUUUCUAGUGGACCCUGGUCUGGACCCUGCUGUUUUAUUCCAAGUCUUUCCUUGUCAGGAAGACCAUCAAAUGGCUUUAGAAAUCCGGAGAAAAAUCAUCAAGUUCUUCACAACAGAACACAACAGUGAAAAUGACAGAACCAGGAGUAGAAGGAAACGAUGUGCUCUAUGGCUCGGGGCUUGCCUGGAUCCUUGACACAGUGAUGCACUUCUGUUGUGAGUCUGCUGCAGCAGCAUAUGAACUGUCACUUGUUACUUUAAAUAAUAGAUUGCCUCCCCUAAUUUCCUGCCUGAUAUUUUUGGCAGAGUGGAGAGACUUGCGGACAGGCAGCAUCUGUCAGCUCCACAGUGGAAGCCAGAAAUUUUCCACACACAAAAUUUAGUGGAAAAUAAUACACUAGCAAGCUCAACUCUCCCAAGUUUGCUAACUUGUAGUGAAUAUCAGAGAUCAGAUUGAGACACAAUUUGCAACACACACACAUACACAUACACAUACACAUACACAUACA